rnacentral:lncRNA from 1 species
CAAAAAGCCAAAUUGUUUUUUUGGGGUUAUUUCAGAAUGACGUGACGUCUGAUGGCUCUAUUCCUUUUAUAGGUCUUCUUGAUACGCAUUGAAUCCUGACCUGGGAUGGAAAGUAAUUUUUGUGAACAUAUUUACAGAAUGAUGUGUAAUAGAUCUAGCAAAGGCUGAAGGCUGGUAAUAGUGACUGAUGUAGUACCGUGGAGAAAAGAAACCUGAACACUGCUCUCCGAGGAGGCUGAGCGAGGAGUGAGGGCUGGUAUGUUGAAUGCCUCUGAUAAGCUGAAUCUUGAAUCCAGCCUUGUCGUGGUUUGCUUGCUGUAUAAUCUCAUUAAGCCAGUGGGGACUGCACUGAGGAAAAAUCACCGGAGAAUUUUUUGUAUUCUGUAGCUGACAAAGGGAAUGUCCUGAAUUUAUUCUACUGGCAUGGUUUUACUUUCAGGUGCUUUUUCAGCAGGAAGGGGCAAUCUGACAUCUUGUCUGAGAACAACCUGACUGGCCCUUGCUGGAUACUGGUUUGUAGAAGGCACUGAUGGAUGCUUCCCCCUGUGAAAGGAGGACCUCCCAUCAAUAACUUCUGGUCAGCAACUUCCAUGCCACACGGGCUCAUCUCAAAGGCUUAUGCCAUGAAGAGAAGAAGCACCACCAGUUUUGCAGAGUAUGGUCCUGGCAGGUGGAGAGAUGAAAGGCCUUUACAGGCAAUGAUCUACAGAGCAAAAGCAGAUCAUUACCUCAUGAAUGAGGUUCUGCUUUUUAAACAGUGA